UACGAAGGGGGCUAGCGUUGCUCGGAAUUACUGGGCGUAAAGGGCGCGUAGGCGGCCCACAUAGUCAGGCGUGAAAUUCCUGGGCUCAACCUGGGGGCUGCGCUUGAUACGUGUGGGCUUGAGGACAGGAGAGGCUCGUGGAACUCCCAGUGUAGAGGUGAAAUUCGUAGAUAUUGGGAAGAACACCGGUGGCGAAGGCGGCGAGCUGGCCUGUAACUGACGCUGAGGCGCGACAGCGUGGGGAGCAAACAGG
rnacentral:rRNA from 1 species